rnacentral:rRNA from 1 species
UAUUUUGGAAGAGAUGCAUUUAUUAGAUAAAAAACCAAUACAUACUUUUUCAAGUAUGAAAUUUGGUGAUUUACAAUAACUUAGCAAAUCGCAUAGUGAAAACAGGCGAUAAAUCAUUCAAGUUUCUGACCUAUCAGCUUUCGACGGUAUGGUAUUGGCUUACCGUGGCAGUGACGGUUAACGGGGGAUUAGGGUUCGAUUCCGGAGAGGGAGCCUGAGAAACGGCUACCACAUCUAAGGAAGGCAGCAGGCGCGCAAAUUACCCAAUUCUAACAGCAUAAGAGAGGCAGUGACAAGAAAUAACAAUACAAGGCAGUUAAAAUGCUUUGUAAUUGGAAUGAUAGAAAUUUAAACACUUUUUAAAGUAUCAAUUGGAGGGCAAGUCUGGUGCCAGCAGCCGCGGUAAUUCCAGCUCCAAUAGCGUAUAUUAAAAUUGUUGCAGUUAAAAAGCUCGUAGUUGAAUUUCUGUUAAAAAUAACCGGUCUGCUUUUAAUAAAAGUGGUAUCUUGGUGUGUUUUUAGCAAUAAUGUCCUUUGAAAUGUUUUUUACUUUAUUGUAAUAAAUAAUAUUCAGGAUUUUUACUUUGAGAAAAUUAGAGUGUUUCUAGCAGGCUAACGCUUUGAAUACUGCAGCAUGGAAUAAUAAAAUAGGAUUUUAGUUCUACAUUAUUGGUUUUAAGAACUAAAUUAAUGAUUGAUAGGGACAGUUGGGGGCAUUUGUAUUUAACUGUCAGAGGUGAAAUUCUUAGAUUUGUUAAAGACAAACUACUGCGAAAGCAUUUGCCAAAGAUGUUUUCAUUAAUCAAGUAC